rnacentral:rRNA from 1 species
GACGGGGGGGGGCAAGUGUUCUUCGGAAUGACUGGGCGUAAAGCGCACGUAGGCGGUUCGUUAUGUCGGAUGUGAAAGCCCUUGGCUUAACCGAGGAAGUGCAUCCGAAACUGGCGAGCUAGAGUACUAAAGAGGAUCGCGGAAUUCCCGGUGUAGAGGUGAAAUUCGUAGAUAUCGGGAGGAACACCGGUGGCGAAGGCGGCGAUCUGGGGUAGAUACUGACGCUGAGGUGCGAAAGCGUGGGGAGCAAACA